UACGUAGGGGGCAAGCGUUGUCCGGAUUUAUUGGGCGUAAAAGGCUUGUAGGUGGCCACGCCAAGUCGGAUGUGAAAUCUCCCGGCUCAACUGGGAGGGGUCAUUCGAUACUGGCGGGCUCGAGGCCGGUAGGGGGAAGUGGAAUUCCCGGUGUAGUGGUGGAAUGCGUAGAUAUCGGGAGGAACACCAGUGGCGAAGGCGGCUUCCUGGACCGGGUU
rnacentral:rRNA from 1 species